CUUACUUGAAAAAAUGAAACCCUUAAUUUUAUAGGCUACUAUUUUAUUUACAAUGUAUGUAGCAAAAAUUAUAUUUUAUGUAAUCAGUGUGUAUUUUUCUUUUUUAUUUAUUAUCUUGAUGAGAUAUUUUGAAAUGAAGUGUGUCAGAAAAGAAUACGUGGAGACCCUAAAGACAAUCACAUAAACUAUGGUUUACUUUCAAGCCACAGUGAAGUUUCAGGAAAGUCACUUGGUUUUAAUUUGCUUAUCGUAAAUAAUAUCUGUCCUUCAUCUUCUAAAAACUAAUGACAAUUAAAGACCUACAUUUUUUUUUGCUAGUUGAGUACAUGCAUACAAUGCACCGGAAUGAAAUUCCAUAUUAAUACUCAACAAUUAA
rnacentral:lncRNA from 10 species